rnacentral:rRNA from 1 species
CAAUGGGCGAAAGCCUGAUGCAGCGACGCCGCGUGAGGGAUGAAGGCCUUCGGGUUGUAAACCUCUUUCAGUAGGGAAGAAGCGAAAGUGACGGUACCUACAGAAGAAGCACCGGCUAACUACGUGCCAGCAGCCGCGGUAAUACGUAGGGUGCGAGCGUUGUCCGGAAUUAUUGGGCGUAAAGAGCUUGUAGGCGGUUUGUCGCGUCUGCCGUGAAAAUCCGGGGCUCAACUCCGGACUUGCGGUGGGUACGGGCAGACUAGAGUGUGGUAGGGGAGACUGGAAUUCCUGGUGUAGCGGUGAAACGCGCAGAUAUCAGGAGGAACACCGAUGGCGAAGGCAGGUCUCUGGGCCACUACUGACGCUGAGAAGCGAAAGCGUGGGGAGCGAACAGGAUUAGAUACCCUGGUAGUCCACGCCGUAAACGUUGGGAACUAGGUGUGGGUCUCAUUCCACGAGAUCCGUGCCGCAGCUAACGCAUUAAGUUCCCCGCCUAGGGAGUACGGCCGCAAGGCUA